UACGGAGGGGGCGAGCGUUAUUCGGAAUUAUUGGGCGUAAAGGGCGCGUAGGCGGCUUGAUGUGUCAAAGGUGAAAUCCCUCGGCUCAACUGAGGAACUGCCUUUGAAACUGUCUGGCUUGAGGCCGGGAGAGGGUAGCGGAAUUCCCAGUGUAGCGGUGAAAUGCGUAGAUACUGGGAGGAACACCGGUGGCGAAGGCGGCUACCAGGACCGGUUCUGACGCUGAUGCGCGAAAGCGUGGGUAGCAAACAGG
rnacentral:rRNA from 1 species